rnacentral:rRNA from 1 species
UACGAAGGGGUCUAGCGUUGUUCGGAAUUACUGGGCGUAAAGCGCACGUAGGCGGAUAUUUAAGUCAGGGGUGAAAUCCCAGAGCUCAACUCUGGAACUGCCUUUGAUACUGGGUAUCUUGAGUAUGGAAGAGGUGAGUGGAAUUCCGAGUGUAGAGGUGAAAUUCGUAGAUAUUCGGAGGAACACCAGUGGCGAAGGCGGCUCACUGGUCCAUUACUGACGCUGAGGUGCGAAAGCGUGGGGAGCAAACAGG